rnacentral:rRNA from 1 species
GUAGGGAAUAUUGGUCAAUGGAGGCAACUCUGAACCAGCCAUGCCGCGUGCAGGAAGACUGCCCUAUGGGUUGUAAACUGCUUUUGUACGGGAAGAAAUGUUACUACGUGUAGUAAUUUGACGGUACCGUAAGAAUAAGGAUCGGCUAACUUCGUGCCAGCAGCCGCGGUAAUACGAAGGAUCCAAGCGUUGUCCGGAUUUACUGGGUUUAAAGGGAGCGUAGGCGGUCUUAUAAGUCAGUGGUGAAAGCCUUCAGCUUAACUGAAGAAUUGCCAUUGAAACUGUAGGAAUCGAGUAUGGUUAAGGUCACUGGAAUAUAACAUGUAGCGGUGAAAUGCUUAGAUAUGUUAUAGAACACCAAUUGCGAAGGCAGGUGACUAAGCCAUAACUGACGCUGAGGCUCGAAAGCGUGGGGAGCAAACAGGAUUAGAAACCCUGGUAGUCC